UACGUAGGGAGCGAGCGUUGUCCGGAUUCAUUGGGCGUAAAGAGCUCGUAGGCGGCUUGGCAAGUCGGGUGUGAAAACUCCAGGCUCAACCUGGAGACGCCACCCGAUACUGCCAUGGCUAGAGUCCGGUAGGGGACCACGGAAUUCCUGGUGUAGCGGUGAAAUGCGCAGAUAUCAGGAGGAACACCAAUGGCGAAGGCAGGGUCCUGGCUGGCACCUGACGCUCAUGUGCGAAAGCCAGGGGAGCGAACGGG
rnacentral:rRNA from 1 species